rnacentral:rRNA from 1 species
GAUGAACGCUGGCGGCGUGCCUAAUACAUGCAAGUCGAGCGAACAGAUGAGGAGCUUGCUCCUCUGACGUUAGCGGCGGACGGAUGAGUAACACGUGGAUAACCUACCUAUAAGACUGGGAUAACUUCGGGAAACCGGAGCUAAUACCGGAUAAUAUAUUGAACCGCAUGGUUCAAUAGUGGAAGACGGUUUUGCUGUGACUUAUAGAUGGAUCCGCGCUUCAUUAGCUAGUUGGUAAGGUAACGGCUUACCAAGGCAACGAUGCGUAGCCGACCUCAGAGGGUGGUCGCCCACCCGGGAUCUGAGACUCGGCCCCGACUCCUGCGGUGGGCCGCAGUCGGGACUCUUCCGCGAGGGGGGAGAGCCUGACGGAGCAACGCCGCGUGAGUCAUGAAGGUCCUCGGCCCGUAAAGCGCUGUUAUUAGUGGAGUACAAAUGCGUAAGUAACUAUGCUCGUCUUGACGGUACCGAAUCAGAAAGCCCCGGCUAACUCCGUG